GUGUUCACUUUGGCAGCACAUAUACUAAAAUUGGAAAGAUAGAGAGAUUAGCAUGGCCCCUGCGCAAGGAUGACACGCAAAUUCAUGAAGUGUUCCAUACGUAA
rnacentral:snRNA from 1 species